rnacentral:rRNA from 1 species
GAUGAACGCUGGCGGCGUGCCUAAUACAUGCAAGUCGAGCGAACGGACGAGAAGCUUGCUUCUCUGAUGUUAGCGGCGGACGGGUGAGUAACACGUGGAUAACCUACCUAUAAGACUGGGAUAACUUCGGGAAACCGGAGCUAAUACCGGAUAAUAUUUUGAACCGCAUGGUUCAAAAGUGAAAGACGGUCUUGCUGUCACUUAUAGAUGGAUCCGCGCUGCAUUAGCUAGUUGGUAAGGUAACGGCUUACCAAGGCAACGAUGCAUAGCCGACCUGAGAGGGUGAUCGGCCACACUGGAACUGAGACACGGUCCAGACUCCUACGGGAGGCAGCAGUAGGGAAUCUUCCGCAAUGGGCGAAAGCCUGACGGAGCAACGCCGGGUGAGUGAUGAAGGUCUUCGGAUCGUAAAACUCUGUUAUUAGGGAAGAACAUAUGUGUAAGUAACUGUGCACAUCUUGACGGUACCUAAUCAGAAAGCCACGGCUAACUACGUG